UUCUGAGCUGAGGUGUACCUGCGUGCUGUUUUUACUCCUGCUCUCUGCCUGAUUUUCCCUGGUGGAUCUCUGCUCACUGGUGGCAAGAACAGCCUGCACAAUACAGAUGGAGAUAUGAUUUGAUCAGCUGUGCCACCAUUCAAGAGUUUGGGAGUUUAGUACCCCCUGCCACUGAGGGAUGCUGUGGCCUUACCCCAUGGACUUUCUCCCUCUAGACCUUACUCUCACCCAGUGUCUGAAAGAAGAUAGUUCCCAGCAAUGAGGUGACUGAAAGCAGUUUCCACAAAAGUAUGUAUCAUAAAGUGGAUCUUCCCACCACUGCUCCCAACCUGCUGACAAGAAACACCUCUGCAGCCUCGUGUUGCUUGUCAUGUAAAGUAAAAACAGCUUCCAGACUGACAGAUUUUUCCCUGGCCCUCAUUGCCAAAGUGACCAGUAGCAAGACUCAUCUUCAUAGCUGCCUUGGGGGAUGUGGUGUGGUCACAGCCAUGCUGUACGCCCCUUGAGUGCAUGGGGAGCUGAAGAAGGUUUACCUGACCAGCAGAUUAGGGGUGAAACACGGUAGAACAAAUAGGCGAGAUUUGUUUACAGAAUGAUCCACAUGAUGUGUGCUGGUCUCUGGGUGUGGGUUUGCAACAUGCACUCACUUCAGCUGCCUUAUGCUGGUGGUUGCUCCCAGGUACAGGGGAGUCUGGCUGUGCUGCUCUGCCGGGAUCUUGCUCUGGGCCCAGUUCAAACAUGUAUCCAAGCUCUUUCCUACUUUCUGAGGAGAAUCUGAGUAGUUCGGGAUUUCUGGACCUGAGGAUCAGGGGAAAGAAUGGAAUUUUCUAUGGGAAUAUGUGGGAGAAGUGAGAGCUGUUAUUAGAGAGCCUCCAGGACAUGCAUAACGACAGGACACUUCACAGGUGGAACAAAGGAGUUCUUCCUGUUCUUCCAUCUUGCUCUUCUGGGAGCAAAAUGGUAAAUGUGUGAAUACCAGUUUGCAUUAACCUAACCCCAGCUAUGCUGCUAAGACAUCUUGUGAGUGACUGUGAAUCAGAUGCAUGGCCGCUGCAACAGAGCUGAAGCUGUCUCAGCCCACAAAGGGGAAAAAGUGUGGCUUUAACCACUGUAAAUGAUGAGCAAAAGGCCAUGCAGACAGCACUGAAACUGAUGUGCCAGAUCCUUCCUCCAGCCACUUCCUCCUGUGUUGGCGGAGGUGGUUUCUGAACCCUGAGCCUACAAGCAGGGCACCUCUGUUCUAGAGGAAGUUGGUGCUGUGCAGAGGGAAGCUGCGUGCAAGUCCUGACUCAUCUUGCCAGCGCAAUUCAGUGUGGCUUUAAGUGUUGGUUUUGAACUACUACCCAGAAAGAGCCAAGAGCCUUGCUUCCUCAUCCUCUGCCCCUCUUGCCUUGCUGGCUGUGUGUCCCUCUCCCAUCAGCUUUGCUCUCUUGGGCCCUGCUUGGAGCCGAGCUGCUAUUGCCUAUGGCCACACAGACUGAGGACUGCCUCUCUUCUGGGAAGGAGACUUGCCUUGGUUUCUUCCUACUGCUGACAACUUACAGCAGUUUCAAAUAAGUCUUUGAACAAGUCCCUGAACAAGGGAGCCUUGUUGUAUUAUUUGUAGGUGGCUUACUUUGCUAGCAGUCUGCAAGAGCAUCAAUCCCCUGCUUGUUCUCUAGUUGCCUUCCUACUGAGAGUUCAGGGGUUUCCCAGCAUCCUGUGAUAAUCACAUUUCAACAUCAAAGCGAAGCAAGACUGAGAGAUUAAAAAACAAAACAAAACAAAAAAACAACAA